rnacentral:rRNA from 1 species
CUACGAAAGGUGCAAGCGUUGUUCGGAUUUACUGGGCGUAAAGAGAGUGUAGGUGGUUUAUUAAGUCGGAUGUGAAAUCCCGGGGCUCAACCUCGGAACUGCAUUCGAUACUGAUAGGCUAGAGUUUGGGAGGGGUAAGCGGAAUUCCGUGUGUAGCAGUGAAAUGCGUAGAUAUACGGAGGAACACCUGAGGCGAAGGCGGCUUACUGGACCAAUACUGACACUGAGAUGCGAAAGCGUGGGGAGCGAACAGGAUUAGAAACCCCAGUAGUCC